UACGUAGGGUGCAAGCGUUGUCCGGAAUUAUUGGGCGUAAAGAGCUCGUAGGCGGUUUGUCGCGUCUGCUGUGAAAAUCCAGGGCUUAACCCUGGACCUGCAGUGGGUACGGGCAGACUGGAGUGCGGUAGGGGAGAUCGGAAUUCCGCGUGUAGCAGUGAAAUGCGUAGAUAUGCGGAGGAACACCGAUGGCGAAGGCAAUCCCCUGGGCCUGCACUGACGCUCAUGCACGAAAGCGUGGGGAGCAAACAGG
rnacentral:rRNA from 1 species